rnacentral:tRNA from 1 species
UCCCUGGUAGCUCAGUUGGUAAAGAAUCUGCCUGCAAUGCAGGAGACCCUGGUUCGAUUCCUGGGUUGGAAA